CAGUGACAAGGACCAGUGUGGAGAAUGGCCCCUGGAUGAUGUUAUAAAGAUUAGAGAUUGCUUGUGUACACACGGACCUGCAUGCCUGACCCUGGCCUGCUUUGGCCCUCGACUGCCCCUGUGCUUGGGGAAAGCUGUUCCAGUGUCACUGCUUUCUGCAGAAUAGCUCCUGGACCAAGUCUAUUGUUG